GAUGAACGCUAGCUACAGGCUUAACACAUGCAAGUCGAGGGACCGGCGCACGGGUGAGUAACACGUAUCCAACCUGCCCUUUACUCGGGGAUAGCCUUUCGAAAGAAAGAUUAAUACCCGAUAUAAAGGCUGGGGAUGCGUUCCAUUAGGUUGUUGGUGAGGUAACGGCUCACCAAGCCUUCGAUGGAUAGUGGUUCUGGGAGGAAGGGCCCCCACAUUGGAACUGAGACAAGGUCCAAACGCCUACCGGAAGCAGGAAUGAGGAAUAAUUGGCAAUGGGCCUUAGCCUGAAACCGCCAAGGAGCGUUGAGGAUGAAGGCUCAUGGGUCGUAAACUUUCUUUAUAUAAGAAUAGGUAUUAUAUGAAUAAGGAUCGGCUAACUCCGUGCCAGCAGCCGCGGUAAUUC
rnacentral:rRNA from 1 species